AUAUGAUUGGACAAUAAAGCAGAUAUUUAUGUGAGGAAGGCAGUCUAGUGACUGACUAGGUCAAAGCAUUAAGUACUCUAAUUCCAGAUAAUCGGUCCUCAAAAAAAUCAGGGAUCAUGAGACAAGUUGUCCUAUUUUAUCUGCUGCUGUUUUUCACAAUGUAUUCAGCC